AUGAUUGUAAUAGUUGUACUUUUAAUAGGAUUCCCCGCAAUCAAAAACAUUAUUCCCCAAGGAACAAAUUGUUCUAUAAAAUUACAUUACUUAGGAAAGAGACAGUCCGCCCUGCCUUUGCUGAGGCGACAGAGGACUCCAGGAUGGCCUUUAUUUCAGGGACUCUCAAGUCAAAUGGGUGUUCUGGAAGGACAGAGGGCUACCCGGCUCCACAAUCCCGAAGAAGAAACUCAGUGGAACAGGGUCAAAAGUAGAAAGACCAAGUGGCGAAAGGCGGUAUAAAGUAUGUCUGAGCCUGGACUAAAUUUAUUACCUUCUAAUUCUCUACUUUGAAAAACAAGGUUUGGGAAAUUCCUAGGGAUUUAAGCUAAGCAUGCCGCAUCGCUCCCUUCUGUGCCAAUUCAGACCAAAAUCUCGCUCAAGCACAGCAAAUCUUCCUUAACAAACAGUGGAACUGUAAACAAUCCAACACUAAUUUGUUAUCAUUAUCCCUCUUUAAGAGAAACAGAACUCACUAUAAUUCUAUCAUUAAGAUGAAUAUACCGUUUUAAGGCCUUUACGUAAAUUAUAAUUAAAGCUCAUCUCAAUGAAAGUUAUUACACCAUUUUGAAAGAAAAUAAACAACCCAAAGAGAGGGAAACAAUGUGGUCCAUAACUCGCUCNNNNNNNNNNNNNNNNNNNNNNNNNNNNNNNNNNNNNNNNNNNNNNNNNNNNNNNNNNNNNNNNNNNNNNNNNNNNNNNNNNNNNNNNNNNNNNNNNNNUCGCUCCAAAAAUAUUUUUUGCCUCCAAAGCUCGCAUUGAGGGAGACAUUCUUGUGCAUGAUACAAAUGGUUCUGACAUUAAGAAAAGUAAACAAGUAAGAAAAAUAAAGAUGGAAAAAUUCUGUGGUCAGUUCACAAGUGCUUUUUUAUUGUUUGAGGCAGGGUUAAAGCCUUUUAUAAAGACAAGGAUAUAUGUGCCACAAGAUUGGACGUGACAUUGGCCUAGUCCAGCUGCCCUUGCACAGGACUCCGGCUGCCCGUAAUAUGCCACGGACGAACUGUGCGCUGGUGCUUUCAAACAAAGAACCAGGGUGGGGCUGAAUACAGCCCAUUUAAAGCAUCAUCUCAAUGCUGUUUUGUAGGUCAAAAAGAGUAAGGAUACCUGACUCUGGUUAUUAAUGGAUUUGAGAGAUAAAGCCAAACAUUUAAUAUUCUCUAAUAUUAAUGGUCUUAAGGGUUUUGAUCUAAAUUUGUCUCAAUAACUGAUUACUGAAUGCUGUGUGUAAUCUACAAGAGGGACUCCUGCCAACACCACUGCAAGUCAUUCAGGGACUGUGUUAACUCAGUAGGCCAGAGGCCAUGGAAGUGGACUUGAACAGAGAAAGCGGGCUCUUCUUGGGUGUCUCGGGGGUUCUGAGACUUAGAGACCUUUACCAUAGCAGCUCUCUAGUCUUUUGGUAUCCAUAAAUAGGCACGAGUCUCAUUUAUGUUUUGUUGUCCUUAAACUAACUGAAUACUGGGAGACCCUGGACAAUGAACACUUGGUCUAAAUAAAAAUAAACAUAAAUGCUACUGUGUCAAGAGCAAAGAGCCUUUCAAACAUCCUCUACUGGUGCACCAGUAUAUUACAUGGAAUUACAGCCAUCCAACCAGCAUGAUCAUGCUCAUUUUCCUUGUAACAUUAGGGCUGGAAUAUAAACAAAGGUAUACAAAGACCAUCUCACAAGCUGUGGAUUUCAUUUCUGAGAGAUUCUGAGAAAUUAAAUUCAAAGGAUUUGUGCCUUUUAUUAAAAACUGUUUGGUCUCAUGAGUGUUUUCAACAGCCUCCACUUUCCUCUUUAACUUCCUGACCUGCUCUAUCUUUUAUCAUCUCACUACCUUUAUAUAGCACCCAAAGGAGCAAGCAAGCUCCAAACACACAUAUGGGCAUAGACAUAGCUGGGAGGGUAUGUGGUUAAAAAAUAAAUAAAUAACAGUCCUUGGAUAGAAUCUGGUGUUGGGAAAGAUGCCUGACACUGCCUGGUAUUCAGGGCAAGAG
rnacentral:lncRNA from 1 species